rnacentral:rRNA from 1 species
CAUCUACGGAGAGUUUGAUCCUGGCUCAGGACGAACGCUGGCGGCGUGCUUAACACAUGCAAGUCGAACGGUGAACCUCUUCGGAGGGGAUCAGU